UACGAAGGUCCCAAGCGUUAUCCGGAUUUAUUGGGUUUAAAGGGUGCGUAGGUGGGCAAGUAAGUCAGUGGUGAAAUCUCCGGGCUUAACCCGGAAACUGCCAUUGAUACUAUUUGUCUUGAAUACUGUGGAGGUCAGCGGAAUAUGUCAUGUAGCGGUGAAAUGCUUAGAUAUGACAUAGAACACCAAUUGCGAAGGCAGCUGGCUACACAAAUAUUGACACUGAGGCACGAAAGCGUGGGGAUCAAACAGG
rnacentral:rRNA from 1 species